rnacentral:rRNA from 1 species
GAUGAACGCUGGCGGCGUGCCUAAUACAUGCAAGUAGAACGCUGAAGGAGGAGCUUGCUCUUCUGGAUGAGUUGCGAACGGGUGAGUAACGCGUAGGUAACCUGCCUGGUAGCGGGGGAUAACUAUUGGAAACGAUAGCUAAUACCGCAUGACAACAGUUAUUGCAUGAUAACUGUUUAAAAGGGGCAACUGCUCCACUACCAGAUGGACCUGCGUUGUAUUAGCUAGUUGGUGAGGUAACGGCUCACCAAGGCGACGAUACAUAGCCGACCUGAGAGGGUGAUCGGCCACACUGGGACUGGGACACGGGCCAGACUCCCACAGGAGGCAGCAGUAGGGAAUCUUCGGCAAUGGGCGGAAGUCUGACCGAGCAACGCCGCGUGAGUGAAGAAGGUUUUCGGAUCGUAAAGCUCUGUUGUAAGAGAAGAACGAGUGUGAGAGUGGAAAGUUCACACUGUGACGGUAUCUUACCAGAAAGGGACGGCUAACUACGUG